UGAUGAUGUAGUUUAAUUUUUGAGAAUGGUCUCUCUGCAAGAGACUGGUGGGGCUUCCCCGUUGUUA
rnacentral:tRNA from 1 species